AUAAGGUGUUGACAUUACUGUGCUGUAAUUAGGACAAGGCUUGACGGUCAUGGGUUGAUCCUACGUUACGACACUGCGACAGACUGCGGGUCAGUUUCCAUACGUCCAACUAUACGGUCUGGAUUUAUGACAAGCAAGACAAAUGGCUGACCCUGCACCCGCUCGCAGCUGUCGUCCUAAAAAAUGUACAGCCGGAGUCAUUUAUAAUGAGCCUCUUUCACCCGCAGGCGGACUCAAAUACUCCAAAUCAAACGACAUGUGGCGCCCCGACGGUGAUAGCUUAUUGAUUUGAUCAGAGAAAAACAUCAGCAGACGAGACCCCCGCCCGGGGGUGAAGAGAGCGGGUGUAAGUGUUAAACGAGGGUGAGAACUGUGGUCCUUGUGUGCGAAUCAGCAUGGUGCAACAGAUGGAGAGGAGCUAAUCUCUUUGCAGUCAGAGAAACACCUUCGCAUGCUUUCUUUUUUCCAACUCUCAGCCCUCAGCCCCGUUGCACAACUCCUCACGUGCGGGGCAAACACACAAAACUUGUCGGUCCGGGGAGUCGGCUCUGCUUUUUCAAGCUGAGACACGGACUGAGCAAAAGUGAAGUGUGAGCGGCACCGGGGUCAAGGGUGAAGUGUCCUGCCCAAGGACACAACGGCAGCGAUUUGGAUGUGAAGAGGCGGGGAGCGAACCUGCAGCCCUCAGUCUACCCACUACACCAUACCGCCCCAAUUUAGUGAGGCGGAGCCGACGGGCUGACGUGACGGCGGGGCAGGACACGCCUUGGCCCUGCUCAAGAUGGCGGCCAGGAGGCGGAGAAUGCGGCGGAACGAAGAGGCGGGGCUUGCCGGGAGCGACGCCGCAGCAAUCGAGAUCACGUGCGUGGCUCACACACCGGUUCACAAUCUGCCUAUCUCCUCACAGUGUAUAAAAAGGGAGAGAGAGGAAAGAUCAGAGAGAGAAGAGGUGGAGUGUCUGCAGUGCCGGAAAAAACAAGAACGAUCCCAGAAGGAGCCCCAGACGAGGACAACGACAACGGCAGCUGAAAAGCCGACCGGAACGAGCAACGGAGAAGGAGCUGAAAAGCGACCCGACCGAUAUCGAAGCUUUGUUAUUGAAAAAUAAAGAGUCAAACCUG